GGUGAACGCUGGCGGCGUGCUUAAGACAUGCAAGUCGAACGGCAGUCUUCGGACUGUAGUGGCGCACGGGUGAGUAACGCGUAACUGACCUACCCCAAAGUCGCGGAUAACGAUUCGAAAGAAUCGCUAAUACGUGAUGUGCUGUCAGAUUGUGUUCUGCCAGUAAAGAUUGAUUGCUUUGGGAUGGGGUUGCGUUCCAUCAGCUAGUUGGUGGGGUAAAGGCCCACCAAGGCGACGACGGAUAGCCGGCCUGAGAGGGUGGCCGGCCACAGGGGCACUGAGACACGGGUCCCACCCCUACGGGAGGCAGCAGUUAGGAAUCUUCCACAAUGGGCGAAAGCCUGAUGGAGCGAUGCCGCGUGAGGGAUGAAGGUCUUCGGAUCGUAAACCUCUGAAUCAGGGACGAAAGACACUUCGGUGGGAUGACGGUACCUGAGUAAUAGCACCGGCUAACUCCGUGCCAGCCGCCGCGGUAAAAC
rnacentral:rRNA from 1 species